rnacentral:rRNA from 1 species
AUUGAACGCUGGCGGCAGGCCUAACACAUGCAAGUCGAGCGAGAGGCGGACGGGUGAGUAAUGUCUGGGGAUCUGCCCGAUAGAGGGGGAUAACUACUGGAAACGGUGGCUAAUACCGCAUACUAUCGGAUGACCCCAUAUGGGAUUAUCUAGUAGGUGGGGUAAAGGGUCCCCUAGGCGACGAUCCCUAGCUGGUCUGAGAGGAUGACCAGCCACACUGGUACGGUGACACGGCCCAGACUCCUACGGGAGGCAGCAGUGGGGAAGAUUGCACAAGGGGCGCAAGCCUGAUGCAGCCAUGCCGGUUGUAUGAAGAAGGCCGUAGGGUUGGAAAGGACUUGCAGCGGGGAGGCGUUACCCGAAGAAGAAGCACCGGCUAACCCCGUGCCAGCAGCCGCGGUAAUAC